CAACCCAGACCGCCAGCUAAGGUCCCAAAGUCAUGGUUAAGUGGGAAACGAUGUGGGAAGGCCCAGACAGCCAGGAUGUUGGCUUAGAAGCAGCCAUCAUUUAAAGAAAGCGUAAUAGCUCACUGGUCGAGUCGGCCUGCGCGGAAGAUGUAACGGGGCUAAACCAUGCACCGAAGCUGCGGCAGCGACACUGUGUGUUGUUGGGUAGGGGAGCGUUCUGUAAGCCUGUGAAGGUGUGUCGUGAGGCAUGCUGGAGGUAUCAGAAGUGCGAAUGCUGACAUAAGUAACGAUAAAGCGGGUGAAAAGCCCGCUCGCCGGAAGACCAAGGGUUCCUGUCCAACGUUAAUCGGGGCAGGGUGAGUCGACCCCUAAGGCGAGGCCGAAAGGCGUAGUCGAUGGGAAACGGGUUAAUAUUCCCGUACUUGGUGUUACUGCGAAGGGGGGACGGAGAAGGCUAUGUUGGCCGGGCGACGGUUGUCCCGGUUUAAGCGUGUAGGUGUGUGUUCCAGGUAAAUCCGGUUCACUUUAACACUGAGGCGUGACGACGAGGCACUACGGUGCUGAAGCAACAAAUGCCCUGCUUCCAGGAAAAGCCUCUAAGCAUCAGGUAACAUCAAAUCGUACCCCAAACCGACACAGGUGGUCAGGUAGAGAAUACCAAGGCGCUUGAGAGAACUCGGGUGAAGGAACUAGGCAAAAUGGUGCCGUAACUUCGGGAGAAGGCACGCUGACACGUAGGUGAAGUGAUUUACUCAUGGAGCUGAAGUCAGUCGAAGAUACCAGCUGGCUGCAACUGUUUAUUAAAAACACAGCACUGUGCAAACACGAAAGUGGACGUAUACGGUGUGACGCCUGCCCGGUGCCGGAAGGUUAAUUGAUGGGGUCAGCGCAAGCGAAGCUCCUGAUCGAAGCCCCGGUAAACGGCGGCCGUAACUAUAACGGUCCUAAGGUAGCGAAAUUCCUUGUCGGGUAAGUUCCGACCUGCACGAAUGGCGUAAUGAUGGCCAGGCUGUCUCCACCCGAGACUCAGUGAAAUUGAACUCGCUGUGAAGAUGCAGUGUACCCGCGGCAAGACGGAAAGACCCCGUGAACCUUUACUAUAGCUUGACACUGAACAUUGAGCCUUGAUGUGUAGGAUAGGUGGGAGGCUUUGAAGUGUGGACGCCAGUCUGCAUGGAGCCGACCUUGAAAUACCACCCUUUAAUGUUUGAUGUUCUAACGUGGACCCGUUACCCGGGUUGCGGACAGUGUCUGGUGGGUAGUUUGACUGGGGCGGUCUCCUCCUAAAGAGUAACGGAGGAGCACGAAGGUUGGCUAAUCCUGGUCGGACAUCAGGAGGUUAGUGCAAUGGCAUAAGCCAGCUUGACUGCGAGCGUGACGGCGCGAGCAGGUGCGAAAGCAGGUCAUAGUGAUCCGGUGGUUCUGAAUGGAAGGGCCAUCGCUCAACGGAUAAAAGGUACUCCGGGGAUAACAGGCUGAUACCGCCCAAGAGUUCAUAUCGACGGCGGUGUUUGGCACCUCGAUGUCGGCUCAUCACAUCCUGGGGCUGAAGUAGGUCCCAAGGGUAUGGCUGUUCGCCAUUUAAAGUGGUACGCGAGCUGGGUUUAGAACGUCGUGAGACAGUUCGGUCCCUAUCUGCCGUGGGCGCUGGAGAACUGAGGGGGGCUGCUCCUAGUACGAGAGGACCGGAGUGGACGCAUCACUGGUGUUCGGGUUGUCAUGCCAAUGGCACUGCCCGGUAGCUAAAUGCGGAAGAGAUAAGUGCUGAAAGCAUCUAAGCACGAAACUUGCCCCGAGAUGAGUUCUCCCUGAGACUUUAGGUCUCCUGAAGGAACGUUGAAGACGACGACGUUGAUAGGCCGGGUGUGUAAGCGCAGCGAUGCGUUGAGCUAACCGGUACUAAUGAACCGUGAGGCUUAACCUUACAACGCCGAAG
rnacentral:rRNA from 1 species